rnacentral:rRNA from 1 species
UAACACAUGCAAGUCGAACGGUGAAGGGGCCUGCUUUUGUGGGUCCUGGAUGAGUGGCGAACGGGUGAGUAACACGUGAGUAACCUGCCCCCUUCUUCUGGAUAACCGCAUGAAAGUGUGGCUAAUACGGGAUAUUCUGGGUCUGUCGCAUGGUGGGCCUGGGAAAGAUUGCGCCUUUUUGGGUGUUUUUGGUGGGGGAUGGGCUCGCGGCCUAUCAGCUUGUUGGUGGGGUGAUGGCCUACCAAGGCGGUGACGGGUAGCCGGCCUGAGAGGGUGGACGGUCACACUGGGACUGAGACACGGCCCAGACUCCUACGGGAGGCAGCAGUGGGGAAUAUUGCACAAUGGGCGCAAGCCUGAUGCAGCGACGCCGCGUGAGGGAUGGAGGCCUUCGGGUUGUGAACCUCUUUCGCCAGUGAAGCAGGCCUGCUCCUGUGUGGGUGGGUUGACGGUAGCUGGAUAAGAAGCGCCGGCUAACUACGUGCCAGCAGCCGCGGUAAUACGUAGGGCGCGAGCGUUGUCCGGAAUUAUUGGGCGUAAAGAGCUCGUAGGCGGCUGGUCGCGUCUGUCGUGAAAUCCUCUGGCUUAACUGGGGGCUUGCGGUGGGUACGGGCCGGCUUGAGUGCGGUAGGGGAGGCUGGAACUCCUGGUGUAGCGGUGGAAUGCGCAGAUAUCAGGAAGAACACCGGUGGCGAAGGCGGGUCUCUGGGCCGUUACUGACGCUGAGGAGCGAAAGCGUGGGGAGCGAACAGGAUUAGAUACCCUGGUAGUCCACGCCGUAAACGU